UUGGGCGUAAGCGAGCGCAGGCGGUUUUUUAGGUCUGAUGUGAAAGCCUUCGGCUUAACCGGAGAAGUGCAUCGGAAACCGGGAGACUUGAGUGCAGAAGAGGACAGUGGGACUCCAUGUGUAGCGGUGAAAUGCGUAGAUAUAUGGAAGAACACCAGUGGCGAAGGCGGCUGUCUGGUCUGCAACUGACGCUGAGGCUCGAAAGCAUGGGUAGCGAACAGGAUUAGAUACCCUGGUAGUCCAUGCCGUAAACGAUGAGUGCUAAGUGUUGGAGGGUUUCCGCCCUUCAGUGCUGCAGCUAACGCAUUAAGCACUCCGCCUGGGGAGUACGACCGCAAGGUUGAAACUCAAAGGAAUUGACGGGGGCCCGCACAAGCGGUGGAGCAUGUGGUUUAAUUCGAUGCUACGCGAAGAACCUUACCAGGUCUUGACAUCUUCUGCCAACCUAAGAGAUUAGGCGUUCCCUUCGGGGACAGAAUGACAGGUGGUGCAUGGUUGUCGUCAGCUCGUGUCGUGAGAUGUUGGGUUAAGUCCCGCAACGAGCGCAACCCUUAUUGUUAGUUGCCAGCAUUUAGUUGGGCACUCUAGCAAGACUGCCGGUGACAAACCGGAGGAAGGUGGGGAUGACGUCAAAUCAUCAUGCCCCUUAUGACCUGGGCUAC
rnacentral:rRNA from 1 species